GCGAGCGAGCAGGUGGAGAGGAGGAGAGGCGAGGAGGCGCAGCGGUGUGGCGCCGGACGAUCGGGGCGCCCGGCCGCGCUUCGCCCCCCUCGGCCCAAGGGGGGGGUCGGGCAGGGGGUCUUCCGUGAGGCCGUGGCAGAAGGGACAAAUCAAGUGAUGGUUACCUGAUUGAUCAGAAGGAAGAGCUCAGAACUGACUGCUUCACACCAAGCACUAAACCUUAAAUUUUUAGUCCUUCCUCCUGCCUGAUUGCAAAGCUGUUUUGUCUGAAACCAGCCAGCCUUCUCCUGUCUCAGAUGUUUCCCUGCUGCAUUCCUGCCCUUCCGAUGACUCUACUUGACCUUCAACUUUCUCCUUGGCAUUGUGAGGUUUAGAGCUAAACACGAUUAUGUUUUAUUGCGAAAUAGAGAACGGGGCAACGUUUUCCACACACCCCAACCAAGCGUUAUCAUCAUCCCAAGCGUGGCAUUUGCGUUUUUGUGGUUCUUGGUAUAAAUAAAUACCCCAAUCUGCGUCCCUCUAGGAAUAAUAAAGAAAAAUAAU